rnacentral:rRNA from 1 species
UACAGAGGUGGCAAGCGUUGUUCGGAAUUACUGGGCGUAAAGGGCGCGUAGGCGGCCCGUCAAGUCCCGUGUGAAAGCCCCCGGCUCAACCGGGGAACGGCGCGGGAAACUAGCAGGCUUGAGUUCGGGAGAGGGAAGCGGAAUUCCGGGUGUAGCGGUGAAAUGCGCAGAUAUCCGGAGGAACACCGGUGGCGAAGGCGGCAUCCUGGACCAACACUGACGCUGAGUGAGCGAAAGCCAGGGGAGCAAACGGG